rnacentral:rRNA from 1 species
AUUGAACGCUGGCGGCAGGCCUAACACAUGCAAGUCGAACGGUAACAGGAAGAAGCUUGCUUCUUUGCUGACGAGUGGCGGCCGGGUGAGUAAUGUCUGGGAAACUGCCUGAUGGAGGGGGAUAACUACUGGAAACGGUAGCUAAUACCGCAUAACGUCGCAAGACCAAAGAGGGGGACCUUCGGGCCUCUUGCCAUCGGAUGUGCCCAGAUGGGAUUAGCUUGGUGGUGGGGUAACGGCUCACCAAGGCGACGAUCCCUAGCUGGUCUGAGAGGAUGACCAGGCACACUGGAACUGAGACACGGUCCAGACUCCUACGGGAGGCAGCAGUGGGGAAUAUUGCACAAUGGGCGCAAGCCUGAUGCAGCCAUGCCGCGUGUAUGAAGAAGGCCUUCGGGUUGUAAAGUACUUUCAGCGGGGAGGAAGGGAGUAAAGUUAAUACCUUUGCUCAUUGACGUUACCCGCAGAAGAAGCAGGGGCUAACUCCGUG